CCCAUAACUUUUUAUUUUUGCCUUACCUGUAUGUGGUUCAGUUCCCUUUAUUAUUUCACUAAUUAUGAUCAAUGUCCACACACAAGUUCCCUGAUCUAGGCAUUUGUUCCCGUUUAUAGCUAUCACUGUUCGUUCCCAUUCAUACGUAAUAAUUUUUUAACCAACCAAAUUCAAUCGCCAAAAUGUACAUGCCAAUCAAAUUCAAAUAUUCAGAUCUCUUUCAAAAGUCACGUACAUCUACUAUUUGUGCCUUAAUACAAACAAUUCCUUGAACAAUUUGCAACAACAAAGGAUAUUGGAAAUUUUUAAUUCGUAGAAAUAAAACUAGAUAUGUAUAGUAUUGCUGUUGCUAAAGCAUAGAGGUAGGGCUGUGAAAGAUGCGGGAGUUAAAUGUUGCAAACACUUUUAAAGUGAAUGUUUAGUGUGAUCCCGAGCCGCCCAUGAUCCGUUUUUGAGUAAGGAAUUUCGGGAGUUCCCGCGGACGGCAUCGACGACGAUCACGGGACUAUCGGAUAUCAGCCGAUAAAUAUACAUAAUUACAAAGAGAUAACAGUUGUAUUUCGGUUGUUAUUACAACGGCAUUUUAUAUAUAUACAUUAAAAAAAAAAUGUUAACAGUUGCAAGAACAUAUUUUUCUGUUACCGUUCUGUUAUCUCUUCUGAUAUUACACAUCCACUUACCUGUUAUCAAUUUAUGUUUGUAAAAAUCUAAAUUAAUUGAAUUACUUAUCGCUAAUCCAUCUACCAGAAAAUAACCAUAAUUAUAUAUACGAUAUCGCUUGCUUCAUUUCCGAUAACAAUAAUUUCUUUUGACGAAAACCACAUAUGUAGAACUCCUUUAACAAUACACGGAUUAACAUAAAAUUUUUUACUAUUUGACCAUCUAUGUAACUUCGAGACCAAAGUGCCACGUAUGGAUUGAAACUUAUUACUCUUGGACUUACGAUGCUAUUUAGGACAGGCAGCUGCUCGUAAUACACCAUAAAUGGCCACCGAAAUAUCGAUGAUAAACGAGAGGCGGAGAGGACAUGGAAGUUCGUUUUGAUGCUAGCGUAAAAGAAGUUGUUCGAUGUGAUGUUCUUUCUAUAAAUAAUUUUGCAGAUAAUUGAGGAACAUUAUAAAAAUUCUGGAUGCCAUUAAGUUACAGACCGUUGGUUACAUCAGUCCUCCUUCGUUUCAGGGAGUAGCUGUACCUAUAGCCCAAGGGAAUGCACGAAAGUGAUUUUUUUUCCAUUGAGAAUGAAGACAGUAUGUUUUUGCUGAAGGAAGGAUUCAUGACAAUGAAUUGACUGCCCAACAUAUGAGAAGGGGGAGACUGCUGGAAAUUAAUUUGGAAACCGCUGAAACAAUAGAUUGCAGUGGCAUCUCUCCUGGCUUUGGCUUGCUCGUUACACAUUUAGACUUUAGAAUAUUAGUUUCUGCAAUUAAUUAAGAUUAUCCAAUAAAUGAGAGAAUUAAUGUUCAGCUUGGUCUUACUGAAACAACCAAAGUCUACAUGGGUGUGGUCUAUUGUGAACUGUUUUCUUGAUUUGCUGUUUUCGUCUUCGCCUUGCAACAUUAUGCAGUUAAUUUUCAACCGAAGAGAGAAGAGCAACUGGAGAUUUAUUUGAAUUCCACUGAAACAACAAAUUUUCUGCUAUGGAUUUGAAUUUGGUUUGCUCUUCACAUCUGCAAACUUUGAAAUGUUACAGUUACAGUUAAUGAAGGUGAGAAUACUUGAUAUAAUUAAUUUUAAUUGCUUUUUAUUAAUCUGUUUGCCACCGUAUCUG